AUGGUGGGUGUUGAGGGGUUAGGGCUAAGCCUGUGAGCUGACAGCAUGUUUAUUGUAUUUCCCUUUGAGACACAAAGUUCAGCUCUGGCCAUGAACAUCCUCAGUGACCCAGUGACCCAGGGGCAGAAUAAACAACCUUCUGGGACAAAUCCACUCUAAGGAAAGAGAUAUGACUCCUGAGUUCGAGUGCAGUUUUGCUGUUGAAUUGCUGUGGGACCUAGCAAGUUACUGGACUUCUUUGAAUCUUGGCUUUCCUAGCUGGUGUUUGAAGCUGUGAUCUCAUGGAUCAAUUAUGAGAAAGGAACCCGUUUAGAGCACAUGGCAAAGCUGAUGGAACAUGUCCGACUUCCUCUCUUACCUAGGGACUACCUAGUCCAAACGGUUGAAGAAGAAGCUUUGAUAAAGAAUAACAACACCUGUAAAGACUUCCUCAUUGAGGCCAUGAAAUACCAUCUGCUCCCUCUGGAUCAGAGGCUAUUGAUUAAGAACCCAAGGACCAAGCCCAGGACUCCAGUCAGCCUUCCCAAGGUCAUGAUUGUGGUUGGCGGCCAGGCACCCAAGGCAAUCCGCAGUGUGGAGUGCUAUGAUUUCGAGGAGGACCGGUGGGAUCAGAUUGCUGAGCUUCCCUCCAGAAGAUGCAGAGCAGGUGUGGUGUUCAUGGCUGGCCACGUGUAUGCCGUGGGAGGGUUUAAUGGCUCACUGCGGGUGCGGACAGUGGAUGUGUAUGACGGCGUGAAGGACCAGUGGACGUCCAUUGCCAGCAUGCAGGAGCGCCGGAGCACACUGGGCGCAGCGGUGCUCAAUGACUUGCUCUACGCAGUGGGAGGCUUUGAUGGCAGUACUGGGAAGCUAUAUGCUGUUGGGGGUUAUGAUGGAGCUUCCCGCCAGUGUCUGAGCACUGUGGAGCAGUACAACCCAGCGACCAAUGAAUGGAUAUACGUGGCGGACAUGAGCACCCGCCGCAGUGGCGCAGGGGUUGGAGUGCUUAGCGGACAGCUGUACGCCACAGGUGGGCAUGAUGGGCCUUUGGUGAGGAAGAGCGUUGAGGUUUACGAUCCUGGAACAAAUACCUGGAAGCAAGUGGCAGACAUGAACAUGUGCCGGCGCAAUGCAGGGGUCUGUGCAGUCAAUGGGCUCCUGUAUGUGGUUGGAGGGGAUGAUGGAUCCUGCAACUUGGCUUCGGUGGAGUACUACAAUCCUGUCACUGACAAAUGGACGCUGCUUCCAACCAACAUGAGCACAGGGCGGAGCUAUGCAGGUGUUGCCGUGAUUCACAAGUCCUUGUGACCCAAACUCCCACUGCUGGGAGGUGGAGGAAGGAGCAGGUGCUGCCUGUGACUCUGAACAGCAGGACCUUGGUGACUGGAUUCAACUUGCUUGGGAGGGUCUGUGUUGCUGUGAGAACCGCUCUCCUCUGACUUGGCAGACUGGUGUUGUUCAUCGCAGUGUGGACACCAUUACCCACUCCCGCUCCCCUGAGGUGCUCUGGCCUGUGCCCUGAGCAAGGGGGUUCCUGACAGCCCCAGGCUGCACCUUUGGGCUUUGUUUUGGUGUUUCUACAGGGACAAUACAGACCCUGGAGAGUGUGUGUGUGUGUGUGUGUGUGUGUGUGUGUGUGUAGACCAUGGUGUUUCUCUAUGUUUCUCUAAGUUGGGGGGUGAGCGUGUAUGACAGUCUACUGGAUUUCUUUACUACUGAUCCUUUCGCUGUGUUAAAAAUCAAGUCACAGAGACCUCUCUUCUGGAUUUGUCCCAUGGGGACCCUGAGACUACUAAAGCUGCUUUCUUCUGAAGGUCCAGUUGGACAGUCUGGGAAUGUCCAGAAAUAACCAGUGAGAGGGGCAGUUCUCUGGCCACACCCACUUAUGUACUUUAACUACUGUGACUUUGUCUGCA
rnacentral:sRNA from 1 species